rnacentral:rRNA from 1 species
UACAGAGGGUGCGAGCGUUAAUCGGAAUUACUGGGCGUAAAGCGCACGUAGUCGGCUUGCCAAGUCGGGUGUGAAAUCCCCGGGCUCAACCUGGGAACUGCAUCCGAAACUGGCUUGCUAGAGUAUGGGAGAGGGAGGCGGAAUUUCUGGUGUAGCAGUGAAAUGCGUAGAUACCAGAAGGAACAUCAGUGGCGAAGGCGGCCUCCUGGACCAAUACUGACGAUCAGGUGCGAAGGCCAGGGUAGCGAAAGGG